GUAACCCUUUUCCAGGG
rnacentral:misc_RNA from 1 species